rfam:L. ivanovii plcA & prfA genes
UGUAAAAAACAUUAUUUAGCGUGAUUUUCUAUCAACAGCUAACAAUUGUUAUUAGUGCCUAGCGCAAUCAUAAGGAUAAUUUUUCAAAAAGGCUAUAAAAACGAUUGGGGGAUGAAAAAUGGACGCUCAAGCA